CAAGUAUACUACACGAGGGGCAAGUCUUUUAUUAACACCACAAGGGUCUCUGGCCCACUGAGUGGAGUCUGACAGGAAUUCUUGCUACAAAU
rnacentral:snoRNA from 14 species